UCCAGGACUAAAAAGAAUCUCAAAGACACUCCGAUGAGUAAAAGUUUUUGUUCUCCUAAUAUACAAUAUAUACAUCAUGAAUUCUAUUCUAAUUAUCUCUCUCUCUUUUCAAGGAAUCAACAUCUCCUACAAUGUCUAUGCUGGGAAAAAUGCUGAAGGAAAGGAAAAUAAUGUCAGCUGGUGGUGUCAUCCCUCAUGGAAAACAUUCUGAGGACAUCCCCAUGAACUCCCCAGUUCUUGCUGUCACAGAUCUAGCUACCCAUCUCACCAAGUACAAGGAACUCAAGCCUAGAUGCUGCCUUUACCCAGACUCGCUACAGCGUAGAUCCUGCCCUGCUACAGCAUAGACUAAGCCUUGUUCCGGUCCUGUCUCAGCCAUGCUUCCACCUCGGAACCAGCCCUGCUCCUGCCUUAUCUGACUCCAGGUAAUCUGGUUUUGACCUUCAACUCCAAUUCCUGACUUUGACUCUGUCUUGACCCUUGGCUCUGGCAUUCAGACGCUCACUCUGGUGCUGACCCUUGCACCACCCUCUGAGCUUGAUUCCUGCUUCGACUCCUAAGCCAGACCACCCGGGACCCAGUUUUCUUGACAAUAUAUUAUGCUCAGUGUUUCAAUAAAUGCAGAUUUGCCCUUAUGUAGGCAUAGAAAAAAGAAUGGUGCAUUACAGAGGUAUGUCUCGAGAAAUCAAAAAGUUCUUUCUAUAGAAGAAAAACUUAUUGUCAACCACAUGUGGAAGAUGCUGAAAGCAGAUGGAUAUUUAAUAGCAUUGUCCAGAUGGUAUCCCAGCGACUAAUGUAUCUUCACCGUUUGGUUGAAGUUUACAAUGCUGUAUCUUAUUCUUUAAUAUUUUAUGUCAAGCAUCUUGGAUUUUAAAAGAUUAAUAAUUCAAAGGCAUUAAGAGAUACUUAAAACCCUGUAAACUGCCUGCAAACAAUAUUUUUUUCUCAGAAGGAAAAAAUCUCUUGCAGUAUGUGUAAUUUUUUUCAGUGCUUAAAACAGAAAAAAAAUGCUGUAGGUAGGGUCAUGCUGUUUAAUAUGGCUUACUGUUUGCUUUGUGCUUUGAGAGCCUGCUCCAAAGUUUAUUGAAGUCCAUGGACAUUAGAUCAGGCAUUAAAUAUUAGGCACUUGAACUCUUAUUUUGGUUUAUACAUCAAGUUGAACAAUAUAAUAAAUACUUGACUUAGGUUUCACUGAUCUUAUUUAGAUCAAUUUAUUGUUUAUACCUGAAUAGCCCUUCCUUUGUGCAACCACCUAUGAAAUGUAUCCUUAGUCAUUGAAAUUCCUAAUGUCUUUCUUCUGUUUUUUCAAACACUGUGAGGUAGAUAACUAUAAAUGUGUUUAUAGAUGUAAAAUUACAUACAAAUUCAUCCCCAAACAAUGCCUGUGCAUUCAGGAGGGUGGUAUAUGUAUGAGUGAAGACAGAAUUUGGCUGUGGAAGUUUUAUAUAAUUAGAGACAGUGGUUUGAUUCAGAUGUAAGUAACUACCUCAUUUCAGUGUUGUCUAAGGGAUGUAUGCCCAAGGAACACAAAAUAUUAGGCACCUAUCCAUCAAAAUCCUAUUGUUUUAGCUCUUUCUUUUGGCCUUUCUGGAAUUUCCAUUAUUUCCUGUGGGAACUCAAAAACAUCCUUGAAAGAUAAUCUUAUCUAGUAUAGAUUCUAUAUCUUAUCUAACACAUGUCCUCCAUGGAUGUGCUUGUAUUUUAAAAAAAAUGGUCUGGAAGCCAAAAUUAGUUCAACUUUUUAUGUAAACUAUUGUUUACAAUAUGUCCACUUUAAAAUUCACAUUUUACCGAUAUUUCAUGAUUACCACUUAAAUUACUGAUAUAUUUUAAAAUGUCCUUUUGUCAUUAAUAUGUGCUGCACAACCUACUUGUGUCAGACAGCAGAAAAUCUGACCCACUGGCAAGCAGAACUGGUCAAACUGUAUACCAUAAAUAAUAUGAGUUAUGAAUGUAGCCCUUUCUUUUGUUAUCAAACCAUUCAUGAACUGAGCUUGAUUGAGUGAAAAUUA